rnacentral:rRNA from 1 species
GACAGAGGUGCCGAGCGUUAGGCGGAAUCACUGGGCUUAAAGCGUGUGUAGGCGGAUGGGUAAGUACCUUGUGAAAUCCCACAGCUUAACUGUGGAACUGCUUGGUAUACUGCCAGUCUUGAGCCAGCUAGGGGCUACCGGAACAAAUGGUGGAGCGGUGAAAAUGCGUAGAUAUCAUUUGGAACGCCAAUGGUGAAAACAGGUAGCUGGGGCUGUGGCUGACGCUGAGACACGAAAGCCAGGGGAGCAAAACGGG